rnacentral:rRNA from 1 species
UACAGAGGUGGCGAGCGUUAUUCGGAAUUAUUGGGCGUAAAGGGCGCGUAGGCGGGUGACCAAGUCCGGGGUGAAAUCUUUCGGCUUAACCGGAAAAGUGCCUUGGAUACUGGUCGCCUGGAGGGAGGUAGGGGCAUGUGGAACUUCCGGUGGAGCGGUGAAAUGCGUUGAUAUCGGAAAGAACACCAACGGCGAAAGCACUCUGCUGGGCCGACACUGACACUGAGAGACGAAAGCUAGGGGAGCAAAUGGG